rnacentral:rRNA from 1 species
CAGUAGCCGCGGUAAUACAGAGGGUGCGAGCGUUAAUCGGAUUUACUGGGCGUAAAGCGUGCGUAGGCGGCUUCUUAAGUCGGAUGUGAAAUCCCUGAGCUUAACUUAGGAAUUGCAUUCGAUACUGGGAAGCUAGAGUAUGGGAGAGGAUGGUAGAAUUCCAGGUGUAGCGGUGAAAUGCGUAGAGAUCUGGAGGAAUACCGAUGGCGAAGGCAGCCAUCUGGCCUAAUACUGACGCUGAGGUACGAAAGCAUGGGGAGCAAACAGGAUUAGAUACCCCCGUAGUCCUUGUCUCUUAUAC